rnacentral:lncRNA from 1 species
GGUGUACAUAUAGUGCAUAUAUAGAGGGCAUGCGUGCAUUGAAAAGUGUACAUAGAGUAUAUAGUAGACGUGUACAUAUAAGAGUGUAUAUUAACGGGUGUACACGGCUGGGUGCAAAGGCACACUCAGCGACGUGUACAUUGGUUGCCUACAUGUACACAACAUGUAACUCUACACAUAUAGUUCGACCUACCUGUACACAUAUAUCCC